GACGAACGCUGGCGGCGUGCUUAACACAUGCAAGUCGAGCGGAGCGGCGAACGGGUGAGUAACGCGUGAGUAACUGCCCCCCUCUCUGGGAUAACAGUUGGAAACGGCUGCUAAUACCGGAUAGUGUGGGAUGACUCGCGGCCUAUCGGCUUGUUGGUUGGGUAGUGGCCUACCAAGGCGACGACGGGUAGCCGGCCUGAGAGGGCGACCGGCCACAUUGGGCUGAGAGACGGACCAAAAUCCUACGGGGGGCAGCAGUGGGGAAUAUUGCACAAGGGGGGAAACCGUGAUGAAGCAACGCCGGGUGCGGGAGGAAGGCCUUCGGGUUGUAAACCGCUUUAAGCCAUGACGCGGUAGUGGCAGAAGAAGCACCGGCUAACUACGUGCCAGCAGCCGCGGUAAUUC
rnacentral:rRNA from 1 species